UACGUAGGGUGCGAGCGUUAAUCGGAAUUACUGGGCGUAAAGCGUGCGCAGGCGGUUCGCUAAGGCCGAUGUGAAAUCCCCGGGCUUAACCUGGGAACUGCAUUGGUGACUGGCGGGCUAGAGUAUGGCAGAGGGGGGUAGAAUUCCACGUGUAGCAGUGAAAUGCGUAGAGAUGUGGAGGAAUACCGAUGGCGAAGGCAGCCCCCUGGGCCAAUACUGACGCUCAUGCACGAAAGCGUGGGGAGCAAACAGG
rnacentral:rRNA from 1 species